AACUGAAGUGCAGCAUCGUACUAAAUUCAAAGAUCUAGCCCCAACUGUAUUACUUGAUUCUAUUUUACCUAUAUAAAUUUAGAACUAAUAAUUAGUACCUAUUACUGGAAUCAAAUUUUAGGAAAGCUAAAAUGCUUACCUUCACGGUUUGGGUUUUGUUAUAAGCCUUUUGGGCUAAAGCCUAUGGUAUUAUUCUUAAUUUAACCAUAUAACCCUGGUUAAACUCCCUUAUACUCUUAGUAAAUAUUUUAUUAUAACUUAUUUAUCAUUAUCCUUUAAUGUGUUCCCAUUAUUUUAUAUUUUCGAGAUAUUACAUUUGCAUCUAUUGCUAAUAUUAUCAUCCUACUUUCCUUCACCUAUUCAGUGGUUUAUUAUAAUUUUUCUUUAAUUAACAAUUAAUUUUCUAGACUAUUAGCACAAUCCUAGCCUUUGUUUCCUUAGCCCAUAAAUUUUUCCUUUCUUAGGUAAGUGGGUAUUCUAUUCCAAAUGAGUCUUGGAUCAAAGGCCUAAUAAAACAUAUUUCACUUUAGUCAUUUUUAGAGUUUUAUAUGUAUAGAUUUUAUAUAUUUUUAUGUAAACCAAUUCACUUCUUUCUCACUGCAACCUGUCCAUAGAAACUUUGGUGCUCCUUUUUUUAUUUUUGUUUCCUGGACCCAAUAAAUUUUGAACACAUAUCUAGACCAUCUCUAUUCAAGCUCGGUCUUUAACUUACCCCAGUUUCUUAAUAUUAUUAUUGCCACUAUUUUGUUUAUUUCUUUUUUUUUACUUUUUUUUUCGGUAGCAGACCCAUAAAAGGGUUUAUUGGGCUUGGGUUUGAUAUAAGACCACCAUGAAUUGGAUCUAAAACCCAAGGGGUUACACCGACCCGACCUGACCCAACCCAACAUUAAAACCCCUUCCAACAUCGUCAACCUCUCAAAACCCUACUCGUAUUUGGAUCUAGCUGCCACCCCAUCUCAAACACUCAAUCAUUAUAUAUUUUCCAAACUUUCAUCACUAAAUAAUUAAAAUAUUCUCACUAAACAAUAAUAUUUACAAUUCUAUAACAAAUAAUGAACUCAAAUCAAUAUUACUAACUUAGAUCAAAGGAUUUAAAGUGUAAAUUACUCUUCAGAAUUUCAAACAGAUAAGAAGCUCGCUCAAAUCAGAGGGUGUUAUGCCGCCCACUAGGCCACCGCGCAUUCUCCUUCUUCUUCUCCUUUUUCUUCUUUUUCUUCUUUUUAUGCCAAACGAUCUCCUUUAUUUGCGACCAACAUGCUGCGCAUGCGACCUACCUGUCUUCGGCUGUCGACUCAACGCUCCUCAGCCUCACAUGCUGCACAUACCAGGCAGCUGGAUCUCUUCCCUUUCAGCCUUCCUCCUCCCUCAGCUACUGUUACUCCCUCUCUUCCCUCUCUCUUCUCUCUCUCUAUUUUGGCUCUCCUCUUUCGAAUGAUAGGAAACUCGGUUGGGGUUUCCCUUUUUUAUAGCUUUCAUCUUCACUUUCCAAUCAUUCCAGAUCUAAUUUGGGCCGUUCAGUGGAUUUGAAUCGAUAGCUAUUGGAUCGGCUCCAAACAGUGAGAUCUUGGUCGUCCAUUUCCUAAUUUUGUUGUCCACCCCUUCUAUUCUUUAUUAAUUACAAUUCUAACUCCAUUCUCUAUGAAAGUUAUUCAUUUAGGUCCCUUAAAUUUAUAAAAGGCCUCUAAUUUAGAA
rnacentral:lncRNA from 1 species